rnacentral:rRNA from 1 species
AGUGAACGCUGGCGGUAGGCCUAACACAUGCAAGUCGAACGGCAGCACAGUAAGAGCUUGCUCUUACGGGUGGCGAGUGGCGGACGGGUGAGGAAUACAUCGGAAUCUACUUUUUCGUGGGGGAUAACGUAGGGAAACUUACGCUAAUACCGCAUACGACCUACGGGUGAAAGCAGGGGAUCUUCGGACCUUGCGCGAUUGAAUGAGCCGAUGUCGGAUUAGCUAGUUGGCGGGGUAAAGGCCCACCAAGGCGACGAUCCGUAGCUGGUCUGAGAGGAUGAUCAGCCACACUGGAACUGAGACACGGUACAGACUCCUACGGGAGGCAGCAGUGGGGAAUAUUGGACAAUGGGCGCAAGCCUGAUCCAGCCAUACCACGUGGGUGAAGAAGGCCUUCGGGUUGUAAAGCCCUUUUGUUGGGAAAGAAAAGCAGCAGGUUAAUACCCCGCUGUUCUGACGGUACCCAAAGAAUAAGCACCGGCUAACUUCGUG